rnacentral:rRNA from 1 species
UACGUAGGUGGCAAGCGUUAUCCGGACUUAUUGGGCGUAAAGAGAACGCAGGCGGUCUUUUAAGUCUGAUGUGAAAGCCUUCGGCUUAACCGGAGUAGUGCAUUGGAAACUGGGAGACUUGAGUGCAGAAGAGGAGAGUGGAACUCCAUGUGUAGCGGUGAAAUGCGUAGAUAUAUGGAAGAACACCAGUGGCGAAAGCGGCUCUCUGGUCUGUAACUGACGCUGAGGUUCGAAAGCGUGGGUAGCAAACAGG